GUCCAGGACAGGUGGAAACAUGAGUGUCUAGGACAGGUGGAAACGUGAGUGUCCAGGACAGGUGGAAACGUGAGUGUCUAGGACAGGUGGAAACGUGAGUGUCUAGGACAGGUGGAAACGUGAGUGUCCAGGACAGGUGGAAACAUGAGUGUCUAGGACAGGUGGAAACGUGAGUGUCUAGGACAGGUGGAAACAUGAGUGUCUAGGACAGGUGGAAACAUGAGUUUCCAUUGCAGUCCCAGCUUUUCUGCCACAGUCAUGAGAGGGAAUGUUACAGGAUUGUUACAGUGAUGUUACAGACUUCGCAACGUGUGCUUCAGUUGUUAGUAACAACAGUGCAUAGCUGUCAAGUACUUCCUAGUGAUGGGUGUGAUGCAACUACAGAUGUGCAGAUGUGUGGUUUGUAGAGCUUGGCUUCGCAUUGUGAGCUUACUUGACUCAUUAUUAUCGACAAGAGAAGCCUAUAGGCAGGGUUUCACAAAGUGAUCGAAGGACAUUGAUUGUCAUAUAUCCAUGUAAAACUACAAGCUGCAUUCACUAUGUGAAUCAGCACCGUGCAUUCUAUAUAUUGCAUUUACACAUCAGGUACUUACUGAAGCACCAUUAACCGGGAAUAAUCGAACCGGGCCAUAACAGAUUGAUUCAUGUGAUUGUAGUCACUCCUCAUUUCGUAUCUAGGUAGUUGUCUGACAAGCCAUGGUUUACUGCUUAUCUUUUUGGCACACCAGAAAACUUUGAUUGUGGGUUCGAAUGCCGGCUUGCCCUAAAUC